GCUUUAAACUUGGGACUGGUAGGUGGACAGAAAGCGAUUGAUAGUUGCGCUUGACUGAGUCCCUUGUUUCCCUGUAGCCUCUUUUCGGCAUUGUUCUCGAUUUCUAUUGGACAAUAUUAAAGGCCGGUUGACGGUCGACGUCUGCUGCCAGCAGUAGCUGAACGGGAACUUCAAGAGGAUCUCUCGGACUUUUUGCAGCGAACUCAGUAAUCAGAGAAAGAGAAGUAAUGACUCUAGAGUGAGACAUUACGAUCCUGAACGAUGAGCGCAAGCGCACCGAGCCAGUGUGUGACAGAGAGGAUGGGAUCAAAGCGAAACCCAUACACAAGUUAGAAGCACAUGGGGAAGGCAAGUGGCUGACGAAAUAACUGCUGAAGAUUGACUAUACGGAUUUUUUGGUCAGUGAUGUAAUGAAGAAAUUAUGAAGACUAGGCUGGAGUGGGGCGGAUAAUCCGACCGGCGAAAAUCAUACUCUCUGUUGACUGAUCUACAAUUGCGAAGACGAAGGGACGAUCUGCUCUAAAUGCGUCGAGGCUUGAACCCAUCAAAGGCACCACUGAAAUUGCUGAAAAAUUAUCAAUAGAUGAUGAUUAACUUCUCAUAACAUUUUUACCUAAGAAACAAAUCAAUGGAUUAUCGUUUAAUUAAUUAAAUAUAUACGAGAUCGAA